rnacentral:rRNA from 1 species
AUGGCGGAUUCCGGAGAGCAGAACGGCAAUGGCCAUGCCCCUGCAGCUGCCGGCAACGCUCCCGUCGAGCCGCCGCCGCAGCAGCCAGCCGGCGCCGACGAGGCCGAGCUCGUGUGGAAGCUGAGGAAGUACCUGGUGCUGAUGGCCAUCCUCGUGGCGGCCAUCACGUUCCAGGCGGGGCUGGCCCCGCCGGGCGGCGUCUGGCAGGAGAGCAACAAGGGCCGCGUCGCCAGCGACAUCGUGAUGAGGUCCAGCUACCCCAGGCGGUACCACGUCUUCUUCUACUGCAACACGACGGCGUUCGGGGCCUCGCUCAUGGUGCUCAUACUGCUGCUGGUGAGGAAGGUGAGCCGGAAUCCGGUCUGGCUCCGCGCGCUUCAGUUCGCCAUGAUCCUGGGCUUGCUGGGUCUCAUGGGGGCCUACGCCGCUGGGAGCUGCAGGGAGGUGAGGACCUCUGUUUACAUCUGGGUGUUACUCCUUGGCAUCUUCGCCUACGUCACACUCCAUGUGGUGUUCUUCAAGCACCUGGCGCCUGAGCAGCUGCGAAAAUUUCUAUCCGGUGUCAAGAAACGUUGGAAGGGAACUCUGGGGCACAUUUUCACGUCAUCAAAACCAGAUGAGAAAAAGGCUUCAAAUGCAGAGAGGGUAGCCGAUGAGGGAGUGAAUUCAAUCAAGAUAGAAGAACCUGAAAGAAAUGGCAGCUCCGAGCAGGUUCUUGCAGCAGCAGCAGCAGCAGAAGAAGAAGAAGAGAAGAAGAAAAAGGAGAAAGAGGCUGCAGACAAGAAGAGAGAGGAAGAAGUGGAACAUCUUGAAAGAAAUCGCAGCUCCUUGCUGGUUCUUGCCACACUGGCAGCAACCGUGACUUAUGUCGCAGGGCUAAGUCCUCCAGGUGGCUUCUGGUCUGAUGAUAACAAUAACCACAUUCCUGGUGACCCGGUGCUGCGAGAUCACUACCCACGCCGAUUCAAGGCCUUCUUCUAUUGCAAUGCCACUGCUUUUGCUGGAUCACUCGUCAUCAUCAUCAUGCUCCUCAGUCAAACAGCGUUGGAUCAUGUUGUCAAGUCAAAUGCUCUGCGGAUGUGUGUGCUAGUUAGCCUCUUUGGGCUUAUGGGGGCAUAUGCUGCCGGAAGUUGCAGAGAGGUCCAUACAUCGAUCUAUGUCUUUGCACUUGUUGGCGCAGUCUUUCUCUACCUCAUCAUUAAGUUCAUCGGACCUGUUAUGCCCAAGCCGGGGUGUGUCGGAAAUACCAUCACAUGUCUGGAAGAUAAGUGGGAUAAACUGCUUAAGAAGCUGAAAGAUUUCUUCAUGACCCCGUCAGAAUCUGACAAACAGCCUCAAUCAAACAAUGGCGACAUUCCAAACCCUGAUGGUGAUGAUAAGGAUAAGGAUGGUCUACAGAAGUUGCGCACAUACCUUCUAUUGCUCGGCAUCCUUGCUGCCACAGUCACCUACCAAGCUGGGCUGAAUCCCCCAGGAGGCUUUUGGACAGAUAGUAGUGAUGGGCAUACUGCUGGUGAUCCAAUUUUGGAGGUCAUCAGUCCCAAGCGCUACAAGGCAUUCUUCUAUUGCAAUGCCACAUCAUUUGUAGCCUCUUUGGUCAUCAUCAUCCUGCUCCAGAGUCAGCAGAUUACCCUUCAUGCCAUGAAGCGUAAUGUACUGCAAACAGCAAUGGCAGUGGUUCUCUUUGGUCUCAUGGGAGCCUAUGUUGCUGGAAGCAGCAGGAAGUUCUCAACAUCCAUUUAUGUGUUCAUCCUAGUCCUCCUGGUUUUCGCCUAUGUGGCACUUCACACUAUAUAUGUACCUCGAAUUCUCAAGGCACCAGUGGAGAAGAUAAUAGAGGAUAUAGAGGCUUCCAUACCAGAAUCCUCCCAAAAUCUUGGUCCUUCUGAACUUGCUACUGAAGAAAAAGAUUUGCAGAAGAGGCGCAAGUUUCUGAUGUUGCUCGCUAUUCUAGCAGCUUCUAUCACAUACCAAACUGGCAUAAGCCCACCAGGUGGCUUUUGGACUGACAACAACGGCCACCGAGCAGGUAACUCAGUGUUUCGUGACGAGUUCCGAAACCGUUAUAGGGUGUUCUUCUACUUCAAUGCCACUGCUUUCAUGGCGUCCCUGGCCGUUAUUCUAUUGCUUGUUAGCAAGAGGCUAUGCGACAGAGGUCUGAAGUGCUAUGCGCUGCGUGCAUGUGUACUGGUUGAUCUGAUCAGCCUCAUGGGUGCUUUUGCCGCUGGAAGCUGCAGAAAAGUGUCAACAUCUGCCUAUGUCAUUCUUGUCAUUGUUGCUGUGUUUGUCUAUGUCAUGAUUCAAGUCAUGGUUCUAGUAUAUGCAAAAGACAAGGUGAAUAAACUGAUGGUGCGGAUGUUCAAAGGACAAAUGGCCAGCUAUAAAAUUUUAGAGCACCAAGAUACAUCUACGGAUCGCAAGAGAAGCACACGGGAGCAUAAAUGGCGCAAAGAUUUAAUGAUGAUUGGGACUCUUGCAAUCACUGUCACAUAUCAAGCUGGUCUGCUCCCGCCAGGAGGAGUUUGGCCUGAUGAUCGGGAUGGCCAUUUUGCAGGUGACCCAAUCCUCCAUGAUACCAACUUAACACGGUACAAGGUAUUCUUCUACUGCAAUGCCACAGCAUUCAUGGCCUCAAUGGUCAUGGUCAGCCUCCUACUGAACAACACAAUAAGCAAGUACAAGAGAUCUCUUCUUGUUAUGAAAACGGCAAUGGUAUUGGGAUUGCUUGGUUUACUUGGGGCAUAUGCCGCGGGCAGCUGCAGGAAGUUUAAGACAUCUGCGUACAUUUUUGCACUCGUCAUUGCCGUGAUCAUCUACAUCGUCAUUCAUGUCUUAUUGUCAUUUGACGAAGUGGCAAGGUUAGUGAAGGAGAAGUGGGAAAAGUGGGUGGGGUGUCUGAAAAAUUGCUUCGGUUGCAACUGA